rnacentral:rRNA from 1 species
UCCGCCUGGGAACUACGAGCAGCAGCUUAAAACCCAAAGGACUUGGCGGUGCUUUAAACCCCCCUAGAGGAGCCUGUUCUAGAGCCGAUAGCCCCCGUUCAACCUCACCUUUCCUUGUUUUACCCGCCUAUAUACCGCCGUCGUCAGCUUACCCUGUGAAGGUUUAAUAGUAAGCAAAACUGGCUAAGCCCAGAACGUCAGGUCGAGGUGUAGCGCAUGGGAGGGGAAGAAAUGGGCUACAUUCGCUGUAACAGCGAAUACGGAUAAUGCACUGAAACGUUCAUUUGAAGGAGGAUUUAGCAGUAAGCAGAAAAUAGAGUGUUCCGCUGAAAUCGGCCCUAAAGCGCGCACACACCGCCCGUCACUCUCCCCAAGUCCACCAACCUAAUUAACU